UUGGUUCAAGUUGAGAGUUCGACAGAAACAAGUUAUUUUGGAAGAAGUUCUAACGUGUCAAGAAAUCGACUUCUUCUUCUUGUUGGCUUCUUGAUCAAAAUGGUGAGUAUGCAUCACAGUUACUAUCAAGAACACUCUGUCAAUCCUCGUGAUUCUGCUGUUCGUUCCAACAUACACCCGGUCUGAAUGCGUGGUAAGCGGGUUAAGAUUGUUCCUUCACGCCGUCCGUAUGUUCGCCUUGCUGAUCGAGGUAAUAACAAAGUACCAGUUCCUUCAUUUUUGAAAGGAAAAGGGCCUGUGACUUCGAGCAGCCUCAGAGUUUAUCUGACUCUUCUAGUAGUUCAUCAGAUCCUUUGCCCCAACAGCAUCCCUGGACCCCUCAUUCUGGGCACAUUUCGACUAUUUGUCCAUCUCAUGAUAUUCCAACUGGGCCCACUGCUCCUUCCCCAUCCAUGGGUCGUGAAUCUGUCCUUCCUCCCACUACAGCUCGGACAUCUAAUCCUCUAUCUCCACCUCAGUCCACGACUUCACCCAAGCCCCAGGGUGUCACCAUCAAAACUGGUAGACGUCGACUUCCACACAAUAUUCCUUCUGUUCCCAUUGAUAGCAUAUCUUUUCAUCAUGAAGAGAAUGCUCAGAGGUGGAAGUAUGUUGUACAACGACAUUUGGCCGAUGAAUUGAAUGUCUCUGAUAAGCAUCAGUCCUGUGUGACCAUUAUAGACUUGAUUAGUCAAGUUUGGUCUAUCUCGUACCAUCCUGAAUGUUAGGUCGUUCUAUCCAAGACUCAUUUGGGAAGUUAUUGCCAAUCUGCCAUCUAACUUUGAUGACCCUAGUAGCACUAAUUAUUAGACAAUUCAUGUAAGUGGUCGUCGAGUUUUGAUAUCUCCUUUAGUGAUUAAUGUGUUUCUUGGGUUGUCAACAUCUUUGGAUAUUGCUCUUACCAACCUUUCAACUGUAGUUUUGGCUUUUCUGUUGACUGGUGGCUCCCUUACUGUUUGGCCCCUGACGGGUAUUCCUAUUGCCUCCUUGAGUGUUAACUGUGCGAUUCUUCACAAGAUUGGCAUUGCAAACUGGUUUCCUUCUUCUCAUGCCUCCAAUGUAUCUGUUGCGCUUUCUAAGUUCUUGUUUUGGAUUGGUACAGGCUCUACUGUUGAUGCUAGUUUGUUUAUUUACAAUCAACUUUUACGUCAUGUUGGUACCUUUGGUGUCAAGAUUCUGAUUGCUCUACCUCACUUCUUCUCUAGUUUGAUUAUCCAUUUGCAUCUUGAUAUUUUAAGGGACUUUGAUGCCCCUGGCCCCCGCCCCCGCAUGUUAUCACUGAGUUAUAGACUGUUUCAAGGCUCUCAUGUCCCGAUAUUGAGCACAUAGUUCAUCCCAACCGCUCUGCCAAUCCCUUUGUGUCUGAUGACGUUUCUGCUUCCUCUGUUGGUGCUAAAAUGGUUGUUGGUGACAUUUCCCGCAUUUUAAAUUCUCUAUUUGGUGAAUCUUGGGCAUUGAGCACUUCUAUUUCAUUACUGAGAAGGGUGGAAAUUGAUGCUCUCAUUCGCUAUCUAAAAAUGUUUCUAUCUUCAUCUGAAAAUGUUCCUCCUCCGUCUCCUUAGAUACUUUCUUUGCUCAAAGGAGGAGAGAAGUGUGGGGUGUGUUGUUGUUUUGGGUAUUGUGCUACUGUUUUUGCUUGAUAGUAUAAACGUGUACUGUGAAAUUUUGGGUGAAUUUUCGAACAAAUAUAAUGGUUGGCUUCUUUCUUUUUGUAGUCUAUGAUUUGUUAUUGAAAAUGAAUGAAUGGGUGAACUCCUACAGUGUGUGUGGCUUCUGGCUUGUCUUGA